CCUACGGGGGGCAGCAGUGAGGAAUAUUGGUCAAUGGACGAAAGCCUGAACCAGCCAAGUAGCGUGAAGGAUGACUGCCCUAUGGGUUGUAAACUUCUUUUAUAUGGGAGUAAAAUGUUCCACGUGUGGGAUUUUGUAUGUACCAUAUGAAUAAGGAUCGGCUAACCCCGUGCCAGCCGCCGCGGUAAUACGGAGGAUCCGAGGCGUGUCCGGUUUUAUUGGGUUUAAAGGGAGCGGAGGUGGGUUGUUAAGUUAGUUGUGAAAGUGUGAGGCUCAACCGUAAAAUUGCAGUUGAAACUGGCAGUCUUGAGUACAGUAGAGGUGGGCGGAAUGCGUGGUGUAGCGGUGAAAUGCUUAGAUAUCACGAAGAACUCCGAUUGCGAAGGCAGUUCACUGGACUGCAACUGACACUGAGGCACGAAAGUGUGGGGAUCAAACAGGAUUAGAUACCCUUGUAGUC
rnacentral:rRNA from 1 species